UUUGAUCCUGGCUCAGGAUGAACGCUAGCGGCAGGCCUAACACAUGCAAGUCGAGGGGUAUAAGUCUUCGGAUUUAGAGACCGGCGCACGGGUGCGUAACGCGUAUGCAAUCUGCCUUACACUAAGGGAUAGCCCAGAGAAAUUUGGAUUAAUACCUUAUAGUAUAUGAUGGGGACAUCCCCGACAUAUUAAAGUUCCAACGGUGUAAGAUGAGCAUGCGUCCCAUUAGUUAGUUGGUGUGGUAACGGCACACCAAGACAAUGAUGGGUAGGGGUCCUGAGAGGGAGAUCCCCCACACUGGUACUGAGACACGGACCAGACUCCUACGGGAGGCAGCAGUGAGGAAUAUUGGUCAAUGGGCGCAAGCCUGAACCAGCCAUGCCGCGUGCAGGAUGACGCAUCUAUGGUGUGUAAACUGCUUUUGUACGGGAAGAAACCCUGCCACGUGUGGCAGAUUGACGGUACCGUAAGAAUAAGGAUCGGCUAACUCCGUG
rnacentral:rRNA from 1 species